CCGAAGGUAGCUCAGCGGUAGAGCGGGAGACUGUAGUGUUAGCGUGGUUUAAACUAUGCUUCUAAUUGAUAUCUCUAGGUCCCUGGUUCAAAUCCGGGUCUUCGGA
rnacentral:tRNA from 1 species